rnacentral:rRNA from 1 species
UACGGGGGGGGCAAGCGUUGUUCGGACUUACUGGGCGUAAAGGGCUCGUAGGCGGCCAACUAAGUCAGACGUGAAAUCCCUCGGCUUAACCGGGGAACUGCGUCUGAUACUGGAUGGCUUGAGUUUGGGAGAGGGAUGCGGAAUUCCAGGUGUAGCGGUGAAAUGCGUAGAUAUCAGGAGGAACACCGGCGGCGAAGGCGGCCCUCUGGAUCGUUGCUGACGCUGAGACGCGAAAGCGUGGGGAGCAAACAGG